ACAGUCAUCCAAGUUCAUAGCCUUUAUAGUGACCCUCUCCUUACUUCUUUCAAAUUGACUGUUAUCGAUGAUUUUUUUUCUGUUAGUUGCUUCAUCCAAGUUACCACUAGGUGAGUGCUUCAUAGCAGAGAAGAACUGACCUUGCCUACUGUGCACCUCCCCCAUGCUGGGUUCUUGACCUAUCAACUGCUGAAUGAGUCCAGAUAUGUUGACCCCACUUUUCAUUGCUGUCCUCCUAGGCCUCCUAGUCUCCAAGGUGCUGCUGGUGGUUAGUGUCUCUGUCAUCUACAUCCACAGGAAGCAGGGACUCUGAGCUCCACAAAGUUGCAGAUGCUACCAUGAUGCCAACAUGACUUCCCUGGGCAGACAACCUCACCAAUAUGUCCUGGAGCCCCACCUGUCCAGAGCCCUUCCCCACUAGGGAAAGAUAGAAAUAGCCUGGGAGUAUGGACCAACCUAUAAAUGCCCGUGUCCAGCAGAGAAGCAAUUACAGAAGUCAGACCUUCCACCUUCUGUACCCCAUAAAGAUCUUUGGUCCAUACUCCCAGAGGGAUAAAGAACAAGGAAGCGUCUAAUGGAGAGGACAAGAUACAGAACUCUGGUGGUGGCAAUUGUAUGGAACUGUACCCAUUUUAUCUCACUAUCUUGUUGAUCAUUAUUAAAUCACUAAUUAAAGAAUAAAUAAAUAAAUAAUAGAA